AGAGUUUGAUCCUGGCUCAGGAUGAACGCUGGCGGCGUGCCUAAUACAUGCAAGUCGAGCGAACAGACGAGGAGCUUGCUCCUCUGACGUUAGCGGCGGACGGGUGAGUAACACGUGGAUAACCUACCUAUAAGACUGGGAUAACUUCGGGAAACCGGAGCUAAUACCGGAUAAUAUAUUGAACCGCAUGGUUCAAUAGUGAAAGACGGUUUUGCUGUCACUUAUAGAUGGAUCCGCGCCGCAUUAGCUAGUUGGUAAGGUAACGGCUUACCAAGGCAACGAUGCGUAGCCGACCUGAGAGGGUGAUCGGCCACACUGGAACUGAGACACGGUCCAGACUCCUACGGGAGGCAGCAGUAGGGAAUCUUCCGCAAUGGGCGAAAGCCUGACGGAGCAACGCCGCGUGAGUGAUGAAGGUCUUCGGAUCGUAAAACUCUGUUAUUAGGGAAGAACAAAUGUGUAAGUAACUAUGCACGUCUUGACGGUACCUAAUCAGAAAGCCACGGCUAACUACGUGCCAGCAGCCGCGGUAAU
rnacentral:rRNA from 2 species